rnacentral:rRNA from 1 species
UACAGAGGUCCCAAGCGUUGUUCGGAUUCAUUGGGCGUAAAGGGUGCGUAGGUGGCUCCGUAAGUCGGGUGUGAAAUCUCGGGGCUUAACUCCGAAACUGCAUUCGAUACUGCGGUGCUUGAGGACUGGAGAGGAGACUGGAAUUCAUGGUGUAGCAGUGAAAUGCGUAGAGAUCAUGAGGAAGACCAGUGGCGAAGGCGGGUCUCUGGACAGUUCCUGACACUGAGACACGAAGGCCAGGGGAGCAAACGGG